UUGAACCGAUACCGAGGCAGGCCCACAGCCUGAGGGGAUGACCUGCAAUAGCAGGAGGUUGCACCGAGUGCAUCACCUAGACCCCGCAAUACCUCAACGGCUGCCCGCUCUGGCGCACAGGUAUCGUUCA
ncrna:Yersinia aldovae ATCC 35236 EFASI RNA